AGGCCAGAUCGAAGAAAUCAGUGGAAUGGAGGCCGUUACGAAAGGGAAUGUGAGACAAGAGAAAGAAAAGCUUGUGUUGGAUGCUUUCGUAGAUUCAUACAGUACCUACGUGAAACGAUUUAUCAACCGCUAAACAUCGAGGAACACGCCAGGCUGUUUACACCACAAAAAAUUCUUACGGGGAAGUGUCAGGGGCCAGAACAUAUAGUUCUUGAUACAUUAGGUACUGAACAUGUAACACCUGAUCCAGGGAUAUAGACACUGUGUGUUAUGAUGAAGAAAGUCAUGACACUGCAGCUACUGAAGGUGCUGUAAUUGAUCAAGGUGGACCUCCAACGGGCAGGAAAAGGUGUGAUGGCCAAAACUGGUGCCGCGCAUGCUAAGGGACGCAGAAAACGAAAAAUGAAUGAACCAGGAACAGCAGAAGUGUAUUGUCAAAAAGAUCGUGAGAGAAAGAAAGCAGAACAACAGAAGUUAAUAGCUGAGGGAAAGAUACGUCAUUUAUGAAAAUAUGAAAAUGAAAGGAAAAAAUUGCAUUGCGCCAUUGCUUGUCAAACCGAUGCAAAUCCAACAUUAAAAAUGUCACCUAGCAAGUUAGGUAAAGCUACCGCUAGGAUCAAGACAUGUCCCCCAAAACCACCUUCCAAGCAUCCUGAAGUUCUUGGAAAACAGGUCAAAUCCUUUUCACAUUAAAAACUUAGUAAUUUUUUUGAAGUUGCUGGCUUUGCUGCUAGGAAUGUUAAACCAAAACAAUUAGUAUUUGAAAGAAAAAAAAAGAAGGGAUUCUGUGCCAAAUCAAAAGGAAUUCAUUUCUAUUAAAUGUGGUAAAGAGUACAGGCAAAAGAGAUUUUUGUUAUACAAUAUUAAAGAAAUUUAUGAACUUUUCUGCAAAGAGUAUGGGGAGUUACCCACUGGACUGUCAAAAUUUACACAAUUACGACAAAAGCAUGUUGUACCUAUAACACUAAGAGAUAGAGAAGUUUGUGUCUGCACUUAUCAUGAAAAUGCUGCUAUGUUAUUAAGGUAUUUGAACAAGCAAAAAAUAAAUAAAUAAAUAAAAAUAAAAAAAAAUAUAGAAAUGAAAUCAGAAAAAUCACAAACACACGGGGUUUUGAGGAAGAAGAGAGAAAAACUAACAGACAUACACGGUCUAUGCAAUGAAAGCUAGCCCCUUCGUUGUUUAUGAAGGAACACUGGGCGAAAAGGAAGGCCAACAAAUGUUGAUUACGCGUGGUCCUAAGUGAUCCAUCCGCGAAGAAGAAGAAGAAGAAGAAGAAGAAAAAUAUCUCAGCAACAUUACUCAUGCUUUCUUAAGCAAGUAGUUAUGCCUAAGUAUAUAUUUUUUCAAUUAUUUUGACAUUUAUAAACCAUUUUACAGUGUUACUUUAUUAAAUGUAAAGGGUACUUUCUCAGAACAGUGUUUUAAAUUAUGUAUGUACAAAGUCUAUAUUUUACUAACAAUAAUUUCACUUUCCUAUGCUACAUAAGUUUAAUUUCAGUAAUAAAUUAAUAUGUAAUUUGUAUGAUAGCAUUUAUUGUUAUAAAAUUCAAUAAAUAACUAUGUAUUUUGUGUUAAAAGUCAAAUAAUUAAUAUUGAAAAUACGGAAACAUAAUAUUACUAUUUAAAUGCAUAAAAGAAUCCCAGUUGCUUGUAACAGUUUGCAGAAUAUAUGUUGUGCCCUAGUUUUCCAUUUCUAAUUAAAGUUUUUUACCCAGAUUUCACAGAAAAGUGUCCUUCCGUAACAAAAAAAUAGCACGGCCUGACCCUGCUAAUUAGUGAUUGACUGAAUGAGCUAAUGAUAUACCUCAACUUUAAUACAGUGUAAUUAAGUGAUAUUAACUUUCAUUUCUUAAAUGACAUUUGCCAUAUAC